rnacentral:rRNA from 1 species
GACGAGAGGUGCAAAUGUUAUUCAUCAUGACUGGACGUAAAGGGCAGGUAGCUGGAUUGAUAAGUUAAAGAUAAAAAAGUGGAUUUCAAUUCCUAUAAUAUAUUUAAGACUAUUAACUCUAGAGUAUAAAAUUAGGAUAUAUGUAUUCUUAAUGGAGAGGUGGCAUUCAUAGAUAUUGAGAGGACAGUCAAAAGGCGAAAGCUUGUAUCAAUUUUGUACUGACAGUGAUUUCUGCUAAAGCAUAGGGAGCAAACGGG